rnacentral:rRNA from 1 species
AGUGAACGCUGGCGGUAGGCCUAACACAUGCAAGUCGAACGGCAGCACAGUAAGAGCUUGCUCUUACGGGUGGCGAGUGGCGGACGGGUGAGGAAUACAUCGGAAUCUACUUUUUCGUGGGGGAUAACGUAGGGAAACUUACGCUAAUAACGCAUACGACCUACGGGUGAAAGCAGGGGAUCUUCGGACCUUGCGCGAUUGAAUGGGCCGAUGUCGGAUUAGCUAGUUGGCGGGGUAAAGGCCCACCAAGGUGACGAUCCGUAGCUGGUCUGAGAGGAUGAUCAGCAACAGUGCAGCUGAGACACGGUCCAACCUCCUACGGGAGGCACCGUUGGGGAUUAUUGGACAAGGGGCUCAAGCCUAUGCCACACAUACGGGGUAGGUGAAGAAGGCCUUCGGGUUGUAAAGCCUGUUUGUUGGGAAAGAAAAUCAUCAGGUUAAUACCCCGCUGUUCUGACGGUACCCAAAGAGUAAGCACCGGCUAACUUCGUG